UCAACUGUUUGUGCUAACAUUGAGCCUAACUAAGUAUAUAUAAAUUCAUGUCUCCACACUUGUGCGACCACCAAAAUUUGAGUUCCAUUCCAUCUUUCAUCGAUGGCAUCAUCCAUCGUUUCAUCAAUUCAUCAUCGUCAAUGGCAUCAUUCACCAGUAUUUAUGUGCAUCUUCUGCUCUGAAUACUGAGCCUUGACCACCCGCAAGAACAUGUCAGCAUGUUCAGCUGGCUACUGCUUCAGCUGCAGCUGCAACAGCACAGUAGCCACAACAGCUGAAAAUUACCACCCCUGCUGCUGUUGCUUGUACCGGAUGCAGCCCAAAGUUGGGCUGCCAAAUAGAGCAUGUGUCUUUAUGUGAAGGGGUCAUUAUCCUCUUGCUGACCAAUACAUGAAUCAUUUUGAGAAGUAAGACAUGACUCUUGUGGAAGCUUUCAAAAGGAUGCAUGUCAUUCAGUAUGAGGACAUGCAUAACACAAAUGAUGCUGAUGAACAUGAAGAGACAAUUUCAGUAAAUGAGGGUAAGAAAUAGCAUGUUACGGAGUACGAACAUUAUUCUAUUACACAAUUCUGUUUUAGCUACCUUAUUUCUUACUAUCAUAGACCUAGGUUUAUAGAAAACAGUAAGAAUAAAUGGAGGAUGUUUUUUAACAAGUAAUGUUAUUCUAGCAUAAUUCCAUUUUCAGGUUGUUUUCUUGUAUUCAUGAACUGAUUACUUGGGAGAAAAAAGUGCAUACCUCCAUAUCCUUUAUUGUAGCUGCAUUUCUCAGUAUCACCUCCUCAUCCUAGAGAGACAUGUCCAGAGUAUCCCCAGUAGACAACUUGCCAACCU
rnacentral:lncRNA from 1 species